GUAGUUUGAUCAUGGCUCAGGAUGAACGCUAGCGGCAGGCCUAAUACAUGCAAGUCGAACGCUCAGUAGCAAUACUGGGAGUGGCGCACGGGUGCGUAACGCGUACACAAUCUACCUCUAAGCGGGGGACACCUCCUGGAAACGGGGAUUAAUACCGCAUAAUAUGCCGAGGUCGCAUGACUUUGGUAUUAAAGCAGCAAUGCACUUAGAGAUGAGUGUGCGUCCCAUUAGGUAGUUGGUGAGGUAACGGCUCACCAAGCCUACGAUGGGUAGCCGGUCUGAGAGGAUGGUCGGCCACACGGGCACUGAGACACGGGCCCGACUCCUACGGGAGGCAGCAGUAAGGAAUAUUGGUCAAUGGUGGAAACACUGAACCAGCCAUGCCGCGUGGAGGAAUAAGGUCCUACGGAUUGUAAACUCCUUUUGACGAGGAAGAAAGUGUUAGAUUUAUCUAAUUUUGACGGUACUCGUAGAAUAAGCACCGGCUAACUCCGUG
rnacentral:rRNA from 1 species